rnacentral:rRNA from 1 species
AGUGAACGCUGGCGGUAGGCCUAACACAUGCAAGUCGAACGGCAGCACAGUAAGAGCUUGCUCUUACGGGUGGCGAGUGGCGGACGGGUGAGGAAUACAUCGGAAUCUACUUUUUCGUGGGGGAUAACGUAGGGAAACUUACGCUAAUACCGCAUACGACCUACGGGUGAAAGCAGGGGAUCUUCGGACCUUGCGCGAUUGAAUGAGCCGAUGUCGGAUUAGCUAGUUGGCGGGGUAAAGGCCCACCAAGGCGACGAUCCGUAGCUGGUCUGAGAGGAUGAUCGGCCACACUGGAACUGAGACACGGUCCAGAGUCCUACGGGAGGCAGCAGUGGGGAAUAUUGGACAGUGGGCGCAAGCCUGAUCCAGCCAUACCGCGUGGGUGAAGAAGGCCUUCGGGUUGUAAAGCCCUUUUGUUGGGAAAGAAAAGCAGCAGGUUAAUACCCCGCUGUUCUGACGGUACCCAAAGAAUAAGCACCGGCUAACUUCGUG